GUUGUUCUUCUUCAUCAACACCAUCUUCUAGGGUUUCUUUUAGGGUUUUCCAGAAGCUUCUUGAAGCUGGAUUCUCCUUCCUUCUUUCUUCCCGUCUCUCACCGUCGCUGGUUCACUGGUUUCAUUGAUUAAUCCUUAAGAAACAACUUUUUUCAAUCUCCCUUUACCGUCGCUACUGAAACCCUGAUCUGUAUUGUGAAUUACCGGAUAAAAACGGUAUCUUUAGGGUUCUUGGUAUCUGGGUCGAUCUGGGUUAUGAGUUUCACUCCAAAAUCUGUUCGAUUAGGGCAAGGUUAGGAAAAUUUACAGCUUUAAUUAUUGCG
rnacentral:misc_RNA from 1 species